AAUUUCAUGCCGCAGUGUGAUAAGGGAAUCCCAAGUGCUGGCGUACUUCGUCAGCUUUUAUGUAGUGUAAAUAGCUAUAUGAAUAAGUGGUGGGUAAUACCGUUG
rnacentral:rRNA from 1 species